AUUGAACGCUGGCGGCAUGCUUUACACAUGCAAGUCGACCGGUAACAGGCCUUCGGGUGCUGACGAGUGGCGAACGGGUGAGUAAUGCAUCGGAACGUACCCAGAGGUGGGGGAUAACGCAGCGAAAGCUGUGCUAAUACCGCAUGUGAUCUGAGGAUGAAAGCGGGGGACCGAGCAGCAAUGUUUGGCCUCGCGCCUUUGGAGCGGCCGAUGUCGGAUUAGCUAGUUGGUGGGGUAAAGGCCUACCAAGGCGACGAUCCGUAGCUGGUCUGAGAGGACGACCAGCCACACUGGGACUGAGACACGGCCCAGACUCCUACGGGAGGCAGCAGUGGGGAAUUUUGGACAAUGGGCGCAAGCCUGAUCCAGCAAUGCCGCGUGCGGGAAGAAGGCCUUCGGGUUGUAAACCGCUUUUGGCAGGAACGAAACGGUGUCCGCUAAUACCGGGCGCUAAUGACGGUACCUGCAGAAUAAGCACCGGCUAACUACGUG
rnacentral:rRNA from 1 species